rnacentral:rRNA from 1 species
UACGGGAGGCAGCAGUGAGGAAUAUUGGUCAAUGGGCGCAAGCCUGAACCAGCCAUCCCGCGUGCUGGAAGACGGCCCUAUGGGUUGUAAACUGCUUUUCUGGAGGAAGAAACACUCUGUCGUGACGGGGCUUGACAGUACUUCAGGAAUAAGCAUCGGCUAACUCCGUGCCAGCAGCCGCGGUAAU